UUUGAAAUAUUUUUUCUACUUCUGUGAAUUACAUCAUUGGUAUCUCAAUAGGAAUUGCAUUGAAUCUAUAGAUUGCUUUGAGAGAGUAUGGACAUUUUGAUGAUAUUAAUUCUUCCAAUCCAUGAACA